ensembl:lncRNA
UAAUUUUUAUAUUUAAUAUUUAGAUAACAUAUUUCCAUGUUUUAUUAGUCUAUCAUUACAAUUAAAGAAGAUAUAGAUAAUAUUGAGUAACUACUGAAGCUGUAACUACAGCAGUUCUAAGUUCCGUUGGCUGUUAGCCUGUUAGCCUGCAUGUUGGAUCUGUGGUCUGCCUAUAGAGUCUAUAAAUCGCUAAAUUUACUGAGUAUGUUAUUUACUGUUAUUUAUUAUUUAGUUGCAAUUUUUGUUGGCUCCUUGUUUUGGGCACUUGUUCAUCCGUCAAGAUUAUCAAACUGCUUAAUUGAGGCCUAUUAAUGAGGCCUUUUGAAUAUUACAGGUUUGAAUAUUACUUUAUAGCACAUGCAGUUUCAAACAUGCUUUAUGUACAACUGGUGGUAUAAUGGUUAAAGUUCUGGUCUGGAAAUCGUUGGAAACCCACAAGGCCUGAUCUAUAAGCUAUCGUCAUAACAUACAAUAAAUUGAAUAAUUAAUCUUUUGUUCACUUGAAAAGUUGGUUUUCAGUGUCUUCAGGGCAGGUUCAUGAUAACACAUGCUGUCUAAACACACAGUGGGUAUAGAAAAGAAUCACCCCGCUUUAAAAUAAUCACAUUUUGUUGCUUUGCAGCCUGAAAUGAAGACAGACAUAGUUUUUGUUUUAUCUGUAUUUACUCAGAGCAACUUAUAACAUCCAAGUGAAAGAUAUAACUCCAACAUGUCAGAACUUUUUUUUUAAAAAACAGAAUCAUUGAGUUAGAAAAAGGAUCACCCCCUUGUGUCAGUAUUUGCUGAACCACCUUUUUCUUUAAUUACAACCUUUAUUCUUUUGAGAUAUGUCUCUAGGUCCUGCUAACUACUGUUUUAUUUGCAUUUGUUUCCAGGGUACAAUAUUCUGCCUUCCCCACCAACCCACAGUGGAUCAAAUUAAGAGUGUGACAGAAGUAGAAAACAGAGGAGGGAUUCACCCUGAAGCUGGAUUUGAUAAUGCAAACACAUCUGGAGUUUCAGUUCAGUAUGUGGACAACCAAGAAGUGAUUUCUGAAGGCACAUUUGAGGACGAUAAUAUAUUAAUCGAGCCUACUGUAAAGAUUUCAGUCCAGUGCAUGGAGAACCAGAGAGGCCUUCAUGGGCAAAUUUUGUAUGAUGAUGUGUCAUACCCCAUCCAUCUCCAACCUCAAGCUGAGCCGGAUAUUCAGGAUGAAGGCAUUGUAGUUGACAUGGAAGAAGAUGAAGGACAGGAAUUGUACUAAUGUGUAUUUGAUGUGAAGAAAAGUUUAGCACCUUUAGGUUAUAAAGUUAACAUGGAAUGAGAUUAAUUUUGGGGAUUGACUUGUGCGGAAACUAAAUAUUUCACACGCAGUUUUUUUUAAGGAAAUGUGUUGAAAUUGAAAUGUAGGAAAGUGAUGAAGGACAAGUAUUACUCCCCACUAAAUUAUAAUUAUAAAUCAAGUUUAUGGAAUUAGAUUUUCUUUUAUAAAUAAAAUGUUUAUGAACAGUAUUAGUUUAAAUGUU